rnacentral:rRNA from 1 species
AACGCUGGCGGCAGGCUUAACACAUGCAAGUCGAACGCCCCGCAAGGGGAGUGGCAGACGGGUGAGUAACGCGUGGGAACAUACCCUUUGGUGCGGAACAACAACUGGAAACGGUUGCUAAUACCGCAUGAGCCCUACGGGGGAAAGAUUUAUCGCCAAAGGAUUGGCCCGCGUCGGAUUAGCUAGUUGGUGGGGUAAUGGCCUACCAAGGCGACGAUCCGUAGCUGGUCUGAGAGGAUGAUCAGCCACACUGGGACUGAGACACGGCCCAGACUCC